CUGAGACCAAGACGCGACGGCAGCUCAUCCCUCAGCCCCGCAUCCUUCCUUCCGAGCCCCGGAUCACGCAGACCUUACAGAGUCUUCAUACGGAGUGGUGAACACCACCAGUUUCUCAUCUGUGUUCAUGAGCUGUCCGCACGGAAUCUAAAAGAAAAAAAAAAAAUGAAGGACGUGAGGCUCAGACGUGUCUCAAAUGAAGUUUACUAUAUGCGAGAAGACAGACCACGAGCUCACCUUCUGCCGGGUCCUAAUCAAAGGUAAAACACUGGGUGUAAACACAGGCUCGGGGCUUUCAGUUAAGGAAGAUGCUCAUGACAGGUAGAAAUCGUCCAGGAGCAAAUGAGAGAAAGCCAGACAUUCCAACACAGAGAGUGGAAAAGUUGUCCAAGUUGUCAGAUGGAUGUGUUUGUAGUUUAAUUAACCGCAGGACAGAAAUGAGUUCUCCAGAAAUGACCCAGGACACCAACAGCCUUCUUCGUGGAAGGCCGUUCACACCAGCUUUUUCUCCAGUAGGAAUGAAUGAUUAUUUCCAUGAUUUUCAGAAUAACAAGGGCUCUGGUGAUGCGAUCAUUAUAAGAGGAGGAGGAAAAAGUG